GUGCCAGCAGCCGCGGUAAUACGGAGGGUGCGAGCGUUAAUCGGAAUUACUGGGCGUAAAGCGCGCGUAGGUGGCUUGAUAAGCCGGUUGUGAAAGCCCCGGGCUCAACCUGGGAACGGCAUCCGGAACUGUCAGGCUAGAGUGCAGGAGAGGAAGGUAGAAUUCCCGGUGUAGCGGUGAAAUGCGUAGAGAUCGGGAGGAAUACCAGUGGCGAAGGCGGCCUUCUGGACUGACACUGACACUGAGGUGCGAAAGCGUGGGUAGCAAACAGGAUUAGAUACCCUGGUAGUCCACGCCGUAAACGAUGUCGACUUGGAGGUUGUGCCCUUGAGGCGUGGCUUCCGGAGCUAACGCGUUAAGUCGACCGCCUGGGGAGUACGGCCGCAAGGUUAAAACUCAAAUGAAUUGACGGGGGCCCGCACAAGCGGUGGAGCAUGUGGUUUAAUUCGAUGCAACGCGAAGAACCUUACCUGGUCUUGACAUCCACGGAAGUUUUCAGAGAUGAGAAUGUGCCUUCGGGAACCGUGAGACAGGUGCUGCAUGGCUGUCGUCAGCUCGUGUUGUGAAAUGUUGGGUUAAGUCCCGCAACGAGCGCAACCCUUAUCCUUUGUUGCCAGCGGUCCGGCCGGGAACUCAAAGGAGACUGUUAGUGAUAAACUGGAGGAAGGUGGGGAUGACGUCAAGUCAUCAUGGCCCUUACGACCAGGGCUACACACGUGCUACAAUGGCGCAUACAAAGAGAAGCGACCUCGCGAGAGCAAGCGGACCUCAUAAAGUGCGUCGUAGUCCGGAUUGGAGUCUGCAACUCGACUCCAUGAAGUCGGAAUCGCUAGUAAUCGUGGAUCAGAAUGCCACGGUGAAUACGUUCCCGGGCCUUGUACACACCGCCCGU
rnacentral:rRNA from 1 species